AGAACGUUCCCUCCUGUCCUGUCUUCUGCCCCUUCCUCCUCUCAAAGCUGAGUGGGAAGGGGCUUCACACAAAGAUCAGGAAAGCUUGACGUAUGGCUAGUGAACUUUAGGAGGGAGAGGUACUGGGAUGUGGCUCAACCAGAGAAAAUCCCAGGCCCAUAGCUACAUGAAGACUGGUCUCUGUCCUCAAGUUGCUUACAGUUUGCAGGUGCUACACCAAUGGGUAUCAUUUGUAUCUCACAUAGGCCCUUCGUGGCCUUCCUCCUGAGGCUUCCUGACUUCCCACAGCUGCCCUGCUUUGUUCCCCGACACACCAGGACACAGCAGCCGGCAGGAGCCAGAGACCAAUCAGUAUUUGAUAAAGAUAAAUCUGUGCUCAGAACUGGAACAGAUGUUUAGCCAAUUAGGAAAUGAAACCCUCUGUUGAAGUAGUUCUGCUUCCAUCUGAGGACUUUGGAUUGAGCUGUUAAAAGGACUCAUUUCUUCAAAAAUGCUUUGCAGAAUCUAUCAAAGCAAGGAACGUUUCACCCUGCAGGACAACGAGCCAGAGCCUUGCAUACCAGGGGCAGGCAUUAGACCACACCCGCUUUGACUGUUAGACUCAUCUGCAGUGCUUGUGCCACUAGUGAGAUGCGCCUAAUGGGGGAGUUCAUCCCCCACCUCACCCUGGUGAGGAGUAUGGAUCUCCAGGAACCAGAAGAGCUGCAUACAUAUGUGAGUGGAUUCUGAAAGUGCUGAAGUGAGGGGGAUGCAACAUUAAGUUGGAUGAGGGAGGAUUUGUUAAUAUGAAUGCACUCGUCUGUGAUACAGAAUUUAACAACCUGGCAAGACCCCCAGGAGAGGGUUCUAACAUGUUGUUAGGAUGGCUCUGAAAAGCAUGAAGAAACUGAUGGCUCAAAUCAUGUAAGGCAGAAAUACCAGAAUUGCUAUGGCAGAGGGUGGAUCAAAAGUCUCAGAAAAAUGAGCAUGUAAGAAUACUAUGUACUAUUUAAUGUGGAAAGUCCACCAUGUGGUUAUAUUUAGUGAGAGGACACAGAAGAUGCUCUGUUUCUCAAAGCAAUAUGAGAUACAUCAAAAAAAAAAUAAAAAGGGCACCAGCA
ensembl:lncRNA novel transcript